UACGUAGGUGGCAAGCGUUGUCCGGAUUUACUGGGCGUAAAGAGCGCGCAGGCGGUCGUUCAAGUCGCGUGUGAAAGCCCCCGGCUCAACUGGGGAGGGUCACGCGAUACUGAUCGACUCGAAGGCAGGAGAGGGAAGUGGAAUUCCCGGUGUAGCGGUGAAAUGCGCAGAUAUCGGGAGGAACACCCGUAGCGAAGGCGGCACUCUGGGCCGGAACUGACGCUGAGGAGCGAAAGCGUGGGGAGCAAACAGG
rnacentral:rRNA from 1 species